ACGAAGGUUUUCUUAACUCAUCGUUUAUGAAUGGAGGUAGUACAAGAUAAGUACAAAUUCAGCAUACACAUUUGUUUCUUUCGGUAAAGGACCUCUAGGAUGAGUGAAUAUUGAAGUGCCUUCCUAUAUGAGAUUGGUACCUAAAAGUGCCUCCUUAUUCAUCUGGCAAAUAAUUAAAAAAUACAAAUGAAUCACGUUAGCUGCUCUUGUGCAAUAAUUCAGUAUAUCUUAUGGAAGAACAAUGCUAAUUAUUUCGAACUAGUUCCCUCCCAGAAACCUGAAUGCAGUUCACUUGAAUGGUCAGCUCCAUAUGCACCUGAAUGCAGUGCAGGAAGUGAUGGGCUGUUUCAUUGAAGUUUGUCACACGCCUGACGAGAAAUCAUAAACUGUAACAUUUCAAGAUAAAAUGUAUGCAUGGCAUAGCUGUAUCGAAUUCACAAUAUAUUUGUCCACGAUCUUGCUACCAAUUUGAGACAUUAUCUGACAAACAACUUCAGGAGCAGGUUCAGUAAGCUAAACAAAAAAAUUCUUCAACAUCAUCUUCUAUGCAUCUAGGUAAGCAACACAGUGUUGUGAUGUACUGUAAAACAAUAAUUUUAUCUUAGCAAAAUGUUUCAAAAGAAGUAAUUAUAUUAACCAAGUCAAUAGUUUCCAUAUUGUACUCUAAAUUUAUUUUUGAAGAGCGAGUGUGCAAUGAUUGAAUGUGUAGCUAUAAGCUAUCGACAAAAAAAAUUGCACUCACCAUCAUCACCAGUUUAAUAAUUAGUUCUACAGAUUAAUCUAAUAGGCUACAAGAAGCAAAAGCAAAUCAGACAUCCACCGUCUCCACUCGAGAUUUUAGAUCUAGAAAAUUUGUACCUCGGAAGGCAGCCCCGGUCCUAUGAUUUUGAGGGCCCCCAUGCGAGCUCAUUGUGAUAUGUCUUCUAUACUGUAUAAAUUUUUAUAUAUAUAAACAAUAUGGGUUAGUUUUACUUGCAAAAACAUAAAUAAAUACACUGAUAUAUAUUGAAUUUAAUAUGUCUGAUAAUUAUCGAGAAAUAAAGUCGACCAACAAUAUAUUUAGUGUUAGUUUGACAACCUCAUUUUUCUAAGAAAUUCCUAUUUUUCAUUUGAAAAUAAACUAAUUUCCUGUAAAACUCAUUUGUUUCGUUGCAAUUGAAUUUAAUUCUAAUAAUUAUAAUUUCGAUAAAACUAAUUAGGCUACGAGUAUAUGACAUGCGAUCGGCGACGAUAGUGAAAAAGAGACUGGUUCUGUGCAGCGGUGUAACAGACCUUUAACCAACGCUUUAGUCAGACAUGUGCGUCGUCUGUUCUACUUCUAUAUAAUUUAGUAAGAUAAUAAUUUAAUAUUAAUCCUACUAUUUUAUUAGAUAUAUUGAACCCCUUUCUUUCGUGGACCCACCGGCAGUCGCCUCCGCUGCAUGGCCUUAGGGCCGGCCCUUGGGAAGGCUCCUCCUCCAUCAGAAUCCAGAGCUCCAUCACCGGCCACCUGCCAUGGCAGGAUCCUCCAGUCGAAGGAGACAUCCCUUAAUGUACAGUCCUGACGAGAAACAACAGCAUCCCUUCCGAAAGCAUCACAUCGCCCGCCACCGCCUCCUCAAACGCCGCCUCCUCCUCUCUGGGUCACCGCUGCCGCUUGCCACCUCGACCACGACAACUGCACAGGAAAAAGAACACGGGGAGUACGUACGGAUGGGGGAGAAAUGCUCACGCGAAAAUUUGUGGGAGAUGAGGUCUCCAAUUAGGACCCGUUCGGUAGACAUGGAAGGGAGGACCGUAAUUGUUCCUACCUAGAUUACUUCUCUAAUUUGUAUAAGUUUUAAUCAACAGGAAUAAUUCUUGGUGCAUUCCGGUAGAAACGAACGGGCCCUUAGGGAUGUGGAUUUUUUUUGGAGGGGUACAGGAGCUGUUGGUUGGAGCAAGCAAAAUUAGUUUUUUUUCUCUAAUAUAUGUUUUGGGGUAAGUUUGUAUUUUUUUAAGUUGUUUUAAGGUAAUUUGGUUGAGUGAGUUUUGUAAAAUUUAAAAUUGAUGGAUUAUAUAGUGGUCUAGAUAUAAAUAGAGAUAGAGGUUUUAUAGAACGCUGGAUGAAUAUAUUUUUAAAAUAAAAAUUAUGAAAAAUGCAUAUUUUAUAAUUUUUAUCGGGCUAAAACA
rnacentral:lncRNA from 1 species